rnacentral:snRNA from 1 species
UACUUACCUGGACGGGGUCUAUGGGUGAUCAAUAAGGCUCAUGGCCUAGAUCAAUGGCUCACAUUGCACUCGGUGAGAGUAUUGAUCUACCAUCUCCCCUUUUGGGAGAGUGGACGUCGUAAUUUGUGA